AAGUCGUAACAAGGUAACCGUAGGUGAACCUGCGGUUGGAUCAUUAGUGGUUUUUACGCAGCGCUGUUGUAGUGUUUCUGGGGGGUUUGGUGUUUGCUUAGGGUGUUGUUGGUUGUUUGUCUGUUUUUGUGCGAUGUCUUGUGCAUUGCCUUGUGCGGUGCCUUGUGCGGUGCCUGGCAGUACAAACGAUCGACGGCAACACUCGGACCAGACCCAAGACCUUGCAGACAAUAGACGUCUUUGCUUGCUUUGAUGAAACCAAAUCAAAAACAACUUUUGACAACGGAUCUCUUGGCUCUC
rnacentral:misc_RNA from 1 species